GUGGUAUCCUGUCUGAAUAUGGGGGGACCAUCCUCCAAGGCUAAAUACUCCUGACUGACCGAUAGUGAACCAGUACCGUGAGGGAAAGGCGAAAAGAACCCCGGCGAGGGGAGUGAAAAAGAACCUGAAACCGUGUACGUACAAGCAGUGGGAGCCCCACCACUAAGCCAGUGGUGAACUCCACAUCCGCAUCCUUUGCUGAGGAUACGGUUAACGGAGCGAAAGCGACGUUCAACCGCAAAACAAGCAGAGGGGGCUUAGUGGUGGGGUGACUGCGUACCUUUUGUAUAAUGGGUCAGCGACUUAUAUUCUGUAGCAAGGUUAACCGAAUAGGGGAGCCGGAGGGAAACCGAGUCUUAAUUGGGCGUUAAGUUGCAGGGUAUAGACCCGAAACCCGGUGAUCUAGCCAUGGGCAGGUUGAAGGUUGGGUAACACUAACUGGAGGACCGAACCGACUAAUGUUGAAAAAUUAGCGGAUGACCUGUGGCUGGGGGUGAAAGGCCAAUCAAACCGGGAGAUAGCUGGUUCUCCCCGAAAGCUAUUUAGGUAGCGCCUCGUGAAUUCAUCUCCGGGGGUAGAGCACUGUUUCGGCUAGGGGGCCAUCCCGGCUUACCAACCCGAUGCAAACUGCGAAUACCGGAGAAUGUUAUCACGGGAGACACACGGCGGGUGCUAACGUCCGUCGUGAAGAGGGAAACAACCCAGACCGCCAGCUAAGGUCCCAAAGUCAUGGUUAAGUGGGAAACGAUGUGGGAAGGCCCAGACAGCCAGGAUGUUGGCUUAGAAGCAGCCAUCAUUUAAAGAAAGCGUAAUAGCUCACUGGUCGAGUCGGCCUGCGCGGAAGAUGUAACGGGGCUAAACCAUGCACCGAAGCUGCGGCAGCGAACGUAUCACCCAAGACAACUUUACGGAGUUGACGAUUGACGGAGCGAAGCGACGUCAAAGCGUUCAUUAAAGUCGAGUUGGCUUAGGGAUACGUUCGUUGGGUAGGGGAGCGUUCUGUAAGCCUGUGAAGGUGUGUCGUGAGGCAUGCUGGAGGUAUCAGAAGUGCGAAUGCUGACAUAAGUAACGAUAAAGCGGGUGAAAAGCCCGCUCGCCGGAAGACCAAGGGUUCCUGUCCAACGUUAAUCGGGGCAGGGUGAGUCGACCCCUAAGGCGAGGCCGAAAGGCGUAGUCGAUGGGAAACGGGUUAAUAUUCCCGUACUUGGUGUUACUGCGAAGGGGGGACGGAGAAGGCUAUGUUGGCCGGGCGACGGUUGUCCCGGUUUAAGCGUGUAGGUGUGUGUUCCAGGUAAAUCCGGUUCACUUUAACACUGAGGCGUGACGACGAGGCACUACGGUGCUGAAGCAACAAAUGCCCUGCUUCCAGGAAAAGCCUCUAAGCAUCAGGUAACACGAAAUCGUACCCCAAACCGACACAGGUG
rnacentral:rRNA from 1 species